GCGAGAAUGGCGGAAUUGGCAGACGCGCUAGCUUCAGGUGCUAGUGUUCGCAAGGACGUGCAGGUUCAAGUCCUGUUUCUCGCACCA
rnacentral:tRNA from 1 species